rnacentral:rRNA from 1 species
AUUGAACGCUGGCGGCAUGCUUUACACAUGCAAGUCGAACGGCAGCGGGGUAGUGCUUGCACUACUGCCGGCGAGUGGCGAACGGGUGAGUAAUAUAUCGGAACGUACCGAGUAAUGGGGGAUAACCAAUCGAAAGAUUGGCUAAUACCGCAUACGUCCUGAGGGAGAAAGCGGGGGAUCGCAAGACCUCGCGUUAUUCUAGCGGCCGAUAACUGAUUAGCUAGUUGGUGGGGUAAAGGCCUACCAAGGCGACGAUCAGUAGCGGGUCUGAGAGGACGAUCCGCCACACUGGGACUGAGACACGGCCCAGACUCCUACGGGAGGCAGCAGUGGGGAAUUUUGGACAAUGGGGGCAACCCUGAUCCAGCCAUGCCGCGUGUAUGAAGAAGGCCUUCGGGUUGUAAAGUACUUUUGUUAGGGAAGAAAAGGGAAGUGCUAAUACCACUUUUUGCUGACGGUACCUAAAGAAUAAGCACCGGCUAACUACGUG